rnacentral:rRNA from 1 species
GAUGAACGCUGGCGGCGUGCCUAAUACAUGCAAGUCGAGCGAACGGACGAGAAGCUUGCUUCUCUGAUGUUAGCGGCGGUCGGGUGCGUCCCACGUGGAUAACCUACCUAUAAGACUGGGAUAACUUCGGGAAACCGGAGCUUCUACCGGAUAAUUUUUUGAACCUCAUUGUUCAAUAGUGUAAGACGGUCUUUCUGUCACUUAUAGAUUGAUCCGCGCUGCAUUAGCUAGUUGGUAAGGUAACGGCUUACCAAGGCAACGAUGCAUAGACGACCUGAGAGGGUGAUCGGACACACUGGAACUGAGACAGGGACGAGACGCCGAGGGGAGGAAGCAGUAGGGAAUCUGACGCAAGGGGGGAAAGCGGGACGGAGGAACGCGGCGGGAGGGAUGAAGGAGUAAGGAGGGGAAAACGCUGUAAUUAGGGAAGAAGAAAAGUGUAAGUAACUGGGCAGAUAAUGACGGUACCGAAAGAGAAAGCAACGGCUAACUACGUG